rnacentral:rRNA from 1 species
AACGAACGCUGGCGGCAGGCCUAACACAUGCAAGUCGAGCGAGGACUUCGGUCCUAGCGGCGGACGGGUGAGUAACGCGUGGGAACGUGCCCUUUGCUUCGGAAUAGCCCUGGGAAACUGGGAGUAAUACCGGAUGAGCCCUUUGGGGGAAAGAUUUAUCGGCGAAGGAUCGGCCCGCGUUGGAUUAGGUAGUUGGUGGGGUAAUGGCCUACCAAGCCGACGAUCCAUAGCUGGUUUGAGAGGAUGAUCAGCCACACUGGGACUGAGACACGGCCCAGACUCCUACGGGAGGCAGCAGUGGGGAAUCUUAGACAAUGGGGGAAACCCUGAUCGAGCCAUGCCGCGUGAGCGAUGAAGGCCUUAGGGUUGUAAGGCUCUUUCAGCUGGGAAGAUAAUGACGGUACCAGCAGAAGAAGCCCCGGCUAACUCCGUG